UGAGGAAUAUUGGACAAUGGGCGCAAGCCUGAUCCAGCCAUGCCGCGUGCAGGAUGACGGUCCUAUGGAUUGUAAACUGCUUUUGUACAGGAAGAAACAGUUCUACGUGUAGAACCUUGACGGUACUGUAAGAAUAAGGAUCGGCUAACUCCGUGCCAGCAGCCGCGGUAAUACGGAGGAUCCAAGCGUUAUCCGGAAUCAUUGGGUUUAAAGGGUCCGUAGGCGGUUAGAUAAGUCAGUGGUGAAAGCCCAUCGCUCAACGGUGGAACGGCCAUUGAUACUGUCUGACUUGAAUUAUUAGGAAGUAACUAGAAUAUGUAGUGUAGCGGUGAAAUGCUUAGAGAUUACAUGGAAUACCAAUUGCGAAGGCAGGUUACUACUAAUGGAUUGACGCUGAUGGACGAAAGCGUGGGUAGCGAACAGGAUUAGAUACCCACGUAGUCCCUGAGCGGGCUGGCAAGGCGC
rnacentral:rRNA from 1 species